UGCUGGCGCAUGGUAACCAACCCUCUGGCCUCCCUUUUGACCACUGAGGCUUUCUGAGCUCUGAUGCAGCAUCUCUGCUAGUAAAAUAGUGUCAGGUCUCUCAUCUCUCCCCCUUCAAAAUAAGGUGGCUGUAUCCAAACUCCUUGCUAGGGCUUUGCGGGGCUCUCCCUUGUUUAGCUACUGGUAUUUAUUGCUGAAUCCUGUGGGUUAGCCCAAGGGGCUGGGAAGAAAAUGCAGCAGUGGCUUUGUUUGACAUUUACUGGGGGGUAUUCUACUGGUAGAGACGUGCUCUCCUCCCCAGUCCUCCCUGUCAGGCUUCCUCCACACCAUGCCGCUUCCUGCUCCUUGCAGCAGCUGAAGCCCUGCCUCAAUGGUAUUUUCAUCAAAUGCUGGAAAAAGGGUAUUUUCUGACGCAAGUUUACUCUAGUGAUGUCUCAAACAGCUGUGGUCUUCCUCCUGUGAGUGUCAAAUGCUGAAGGCCAAAUACGUAAGAGACAACUGGGGAAAACUCUGUGAUAAAAGUCAAGACCACUUAACCUGCAUUCGAAGCCCGUUUCUCAAGAAUCAUGCACCCAUUUUGAGAUGUUCUGCCCCUAAUUUUCUCAUUUCCAAGCCAUUCACCAUGAGCAGUAAUUCACAUAAACACGGAUGCCAUUGUGCCUUGGGUGUUGGGCGGGCACCAAGCUGAUCUCAGCUAAGUCCUGCAACACCUCGGCUCCUCUGCCCGUGGCAUUUUGUCAGGGUUUUCCUUUUUCCCACCAUGGGCUGCACUGAGCAGAGGGAUGCCCUCCUGUGAGGCCACCUGGUGUAAUCUGAUGGUCCUUCACCGCUUGCCACCAUAACCUGGGGAAGAACAGAGGCCUGAGAAACGAGGAGGCUGUGAACUUCUGUGUAUGAGGAGAUAUUUGCAAUGUAGGAAACGGGGACCCCGGUGACUCGGAUGCAGGGUCAAUCGCCUAAUUUGCCUCUUGGCCACAAUGCAAAUGGCACCAAGAGUUUGUUCACCCCAGCUUCCUCCACCCAGAGUUGCGCAUUCAACCAUCGGACACGAGGAGUCCUGCACGCUGCUUUUUGAUCAGCAACAGAUUUCCCACUUUCCAGACGAGCAGAAGUCAUCUGCGAGAUCCAGUCAAGUUCAACAAAUGAUUUCACAAGUAAAUAAAAGUUUGUCAGGGAGGAAAUCAGCAGAGAGGUUUUGAAAAGCACAUUUCACUUCGGAAAAGAAAUACAUUUUACUUUUUUUUUUUGCAGAAAUGUAGGGCUGGCCCUCAGAAGGUCAUCUAAUCCUCUUGGUGGACCUGUAUUUUUCUGGGAGACAACUUAACUGGUGCUUACAAGCUUUCACUGAUGGAAAUUCCCACUGCUCCCCAGUCUGUCCCAACCCUUCAAGAUCCAUAGCCUUAAAAUGGCUUCUUAAUGAUCGUCACUUUUUAAUGAUCGGCACGAACUUCCUUACUGAAUGACCUACAACUCCUUGUCCUGCCCAUGGUGAACACGAAGUUUAUCGAAGUUUAUUCCCUUCUUUUUUUUUUUUUUUUUUUUUUUUUUUGCAGGGGCACCAGCAAAUCAAGCAGUGCUACUUCUUGCAAAAAAUCCCCAUUGAUCACGCUGUCCGCACCUUUGCUCAACUGUGUCCUUCUUCUUUAGGCCUUUUGAAAUGGGGUUUGGGAGCUUGAAUAGGCAAACCCGCAAUGUUUUCCGAGUUAAAACUGCCUGACAUUAACAAAGGCAAAAUUACUCUGUAAAACCCCAGAAACAUUGUUCUCUCGCUCAGUUGCAACAUUUUCUUGGAAGCAAUUAUAAUUAUAAGCCUAUUUUUUAUUUCAACACAAGGAGCUGCUCUCUUUUGGGGUUAGGUUUAUUUUUAGAGGGGGGAGGUCUUUUUUUUUUUUUUUUUUGGCUGGACAGUGAAAUGAAUUCAAGCGGUUUUAGCCCUGAUGUGGAAGACAGAGAGACCUCUGAGAAGAACGGGGCUUGUUGAAUAUGAAAUGUUAGAGGCCUGGUUUAUGUUCCUGGUUUAUAAGUUGCACUUUAACAUUUAUUUUUAGACCAAAACCAUGACCUGUAUAUCCUGUUUCAUAUAGGGAUGUACUUUCUUUUGAGUUUCAUGGUGACAUCUGAUGGUGCAGCCAAUUCUUCCACAAGCAGUUGGACCCUGAGGCCGUAAUCUGUUGCCAAGACCCCUGAAAAGGGAGAAUUGCAUCCAAUUUUAUCCCCUCUGCUACCUCUAAUCUCUGCUGCUUGCAAUGCGGUACAGAUCUAACGAGAAAGCUGAAUUGCAGCACAUUAAAGGAAUCAGUGAGUGGAAACUUUGGGGUUGCCCAUGGCUCCAGCAGGAUUUAGCCCCGGGGCUCUUGCAAAAUUAUUGCCCAUGAUUGAACCCCGUGG